rnacentral:misc_RNA from 1 species
UCCGGUUUGUCACCGGCAGUCUCCUUAGAGUUCCCGCCAUUACGCGCUGGCAACUAAGGACAAGGGUUGCGCUCGUUACGGGACUUAACCCAACAUCUCACGACACGAGCUGACGACAGCCAUGCAGCACCUGUCACUUGGCUCCCGAAGGCACCAAAGCAUCUCUGCUAAGUUCCAAGGAUGUCAAGGCCUGGUAAGGUGGGGAUGACGUAUGAGAGUACGUCC